rnacentral:rRNA from 1 species
UACAGAGGGGGCAAGCAUUAUUCGGAAUUAUUGGGCGUAAAGGGCGCGUAGGCGGCUGGGGAAGUCGGCGGUGAAAGCCCGGAGCUCAACUCCGGGUCGGCCGUCGAGACUCCUCGGCUCGAGCUCACUAGAGGCAGAUGGAAUUCCGGGUGUAGCGGUGGAAUGCGUAGAGAUCCGGAAGAACACCGGUGGCGAAGGCGGUCUGCUGGGGUGAGGCUGACGCUGAUGCGCGACAGCGUGGGGAGCAAACAGG